AUCUAUUUUGUGGCACCAGCCAAGUUCCUUGGAAACCAGCAGCUGAGUUAUGGGCAGACACUGUCUUUUGAUUAUCGCAUCAAUCGACCUGGACGUCGUCCUUCCCAACAUGAUGUUGUCUUGGAAGGAGCUGGCUUAAAAAUCACUACUCCGCUUAUGCCCAAUGGAAGGAUGCUGUCUUGUAGAGCCAGCCAGACCUAUACAUUCAGGCUGGAUGAGCACCCAAACAAUAACUGGAGUCCUAGGCUGAGUAGAACUGAGUAUCAUCGUUUAAUUGGGAACCUGACAGCACUUCGAAUCAGAGCUACUUAUGGAGACA